GCAGCAGUAGGGAAUCUUCCACAAUGGACGAAAGUCUGAUGGAGCAAUACCAUGUGAACGAUGAAGGCCUUUUUGGUUGUAAAGUUCUUUUACGAGGGAUAAUUAUGAUAGUACUUCGUGAAUAAGUGACAGCAAACUAUGUGCCAGCAGCUGCGGUAAUACAUAGGUCGCGAGCAUUAUUCGGAUUUAUUGGGCGUAAAGCAAGCGCAGGCGGAUGUGUAAGUUCUGUGUUAAAUGCAGCUACUCAAUAGUUGUAUGCACCGAAUACUACAUGUCUAGAUUGUGGUAGGGAGUUUCGGAAUUAAGCAUGGAGCGGUGGAAUGUGUAGAUAUGCUUAAGAACACCAGAGGCGAAGGCGGAAACUUAGGCCAUAAAUGACGCUUAGGCUUGAAAGUGUGGGGAGCAAAUGGGAUUAGAUACCCCAGUAGUCCACACCGUAAACGAUGGGUAUUAGAUAUUAGGGCUUUAGCUUUAGUGUUGUAGCUUACGCGUUAAAUACCCCGCCUGGGUAGUACAUAUGCAAAUAUGAAACUCAAAGGAAUUGACGGGGACCUGAACAAGUGGUGGAGCAUGUUGCUUAAUUCGAUAAUACACGAAAAACCUUACCAAGGUUUGACAUCCCUCGCAAAGCUAUAGAAAUAUAGUAGAGGUUAUCGAGGUGACAGGUGGUGCAUGGCUGUCGUCAGCUCGUGUCUUGAGAUGUUUGGUUAAGUCCCGCAACGAGCGCAACCCCACUCUUUAGUUACUUGUCUAAAGAGACUGCACAGUAAUGUAGAGGAAGGAUGGGAUCACGUCAAGUCAUCAUGCCCCUUAUGCCUUGGGCUGCAAACGUGCUACAAUGGCGAACACAAUGUGUUGCAAACCAGCGAUGGUAAGCUAAUCACCAAAUUUCGUCUCAGUUCGGAUAGGAGGCUGCAAUUCGCCUCCUUGAAGU
rnacentral:rRNA from 1 species